AGAAUCAACGCUGGCGGCGUGCCUAACACAUGCAAGUCGAACGCGAAAAGGGCUUCGGCUCUUAGUAGAGUGGCGAACGGGUGAGUAACACGUGGGUGACCUACCUUCGAAUGGGGGGAUAACGUCCCGAAAGGGACGCUAAUACCGCAUAACAUCCUGCUUUUGAACAGGUGGAGAUCAAAGCCGGGGAUCGCAAGACCUGGCGUUUGAAGAGGGGCCCGCGUCUGAUUAGCUAGUUGGUGAGGUAACGGCCCACCAAGGCUACGAUCAGUA
rnacentral:rRNA from 1 species